rnacentral:rRNA from 1 species
AGAGUUUGAUCCUGGCUCAGGACGAACGCUGGCGGCGUGCUUAACACAUGCAAGUCGAACGGAAAGGCCCUGCUUUUGUGGGGUGCUCGAGUGGCGAACGGGUGAGUAACACGUGAGUAACCUGCCCUUGACUUUGGGAUAACUUCAGGAAACUGGGGCUAAUACCGGAUAGGAGCUCCUGCUGCAUGGUGGGGGUUGGAAAGUUUCGGCGGUUGGGGAUGGACUCGCGGCUUAUCAGCUUGUUGGUGGGGUAGUGGCUUACCAAGGCUUUGACGGGUAGCCGGCCUGAGAGGGUGACCGGCCACAUUGGGACUGAGAUACGGCCCAGACUCCUACGGGAGGCAGCAGUGGGGAAUAUUGCACAAUGGGCGGAAGCCUGAUGCAGCAACGCCGCGUGCGGGAUGACGGCCUUCGGGUUGUAAACCGCUUUCGCCUGUGACGAAGCGUGAGUGACGGUAAUGGGUAAAGAAGCACCGGCUAACUACGUGCCAGCAGCCGCGGUGAUACGUAGGGUGCGAGCGUUGUCCGGAUUUAUUGGGCGUAAAGGGCUCGUAGGUGGUUGAUCGCGUCGGAAGUGUAAUCUUGGGGCUUAACCCUGAGCGUGCUUUCGAUACGGGUUGACUUGAGGAAGGUAGGGGAGAAUGGAAUUCCUGGUGGAGCGGUGGAAUGCGCAAAUAUCAAGAGGAACACCAGUGGCGAAGGCGGUUCUCUGGGCCUUUCCUGACGCUGAGGAGCGAAAGCGUGGGGAGCGAACAGGCUUAGAUACCCUGGUAGUCCACGCUGUAAACGGUGGGUACUAGGUGUGGGGUCCAUUCCACGGGUUCCGUGCCGUAGCUAACGCUUUAAGUACCCCGCCUGGGGAGUACGGCCGCAAGGCUAAAACUCAAAGGAAUUGACGGGGCCCCGCACAAGCGGCGGAGCAUGCGGAUUAAUUCGAUGCAACGCGUAGAACCUUACCUGGGUUUGACAUGGAUCGGGAGUGCUCAGAGAUGGGUGUGCCUCUUUUGGGGUCGGUUCACAGGUGGUGCAUGGCUGUCGUCAGCUCGUGUCGUGAGAUGUUGGGUUAAGUCCCGCAACGAGCGCAACCCUUGUUCACUGUUGCCAGCACGUUAUGGUGGGGACUCAGUGGAGACCGCCGGGGUCAACUCGGAGGAAGGUGGGGAUGACGUCAAGUCAUCAUGCCCCUUAUGUCCAGGGCUUCACGCAUGCUACAAUGGCUGGUACAGAGAGUGGCGAGCCUGUGAGGGUGAGCGAAUCUCGGAAAGCCGGUCUCAGUUCGGAUUGGGGUCUGCAACUCGACCUCAUGAAGUCGGAGUCGCUAGUAAUCGCAGAUCAGCAACGCUGCGGUGAAUACGUUCCCGGGGCUUGUACACACCGCCCGUCAAGUCAUGAAAGUUGGUAACACCCGAAGCCGGUGGCCUAACCGUUGUGGGGGAGCCGUCGAAGGUGGGACUGGUGAUUAGGACUAAGUCGUAACAAGGUAACC